rnacentral:rRNA from 1 species
GAUGAACGCUGGCGGCGUGCUUAACACAUGCCAGUCGAACGAGCGCGGGGGAGCUUGCUUUCUCGAGCGAGUGGCGAACGGGUGAGUAACGCGUGAGGACCCAGCCUCAAAGAGGGGGACAACAGAAGGAAACGACUGCUAAUACCGCAUAAGCCCAUGGUGCCGGAUGGCCCAGAGGGAAAAGGAGCAAUCCGCUUUCAGAUGGCGGCGCGUCCGAUUAGCUAGUUGGUGAGGGUACGGCCCACCAAGGCGACGAUCGGUAGCCGGACGGAGAGGUUGAACGGCCGCAUUGGGCGUGAGGCACGGCCCAGACUCCUACGGGAGGCAGCAGUGGGGAAUAUUGCACAGUGGGGGAAAGCCUGAUGCAGCGACGCCGCGUGGAGGAAGAAGGUCUUAGGAUUGUAAACUCCUGUUGUUGGGGGAGAUAAUGACGGUACCCUACAAAGAAGUAACGGCUAACUACGUG